UACUCCUCUACUGAAGUCUGUGCCUUAAGAGGAUCAACAGUCGUACUAAGGUGCACCUACAGCUACCCAUCGCGAUUCAAUUAUCAGUCUAUUACAGUUCAGAAGUCCUUCUGGUUUACUAAAGUCCAGGAUGGAGAACCUGUAGAUCUGCAAACAGACUCACAGUACACAGGUCGUGUGACCUACAGCUCUAAAUCGAAGGACUCCACUCUGACAAUCACAAAUGUGGGAAAUAGUGACUCAGCUGUUUACAAGUUCAGGUUCAUAACAAACCAUCAAGAUGGAAGUUAUACUGGUGAUCCCGGAGUCACUUUGUCCCUCACAGAUCUUCAUGUGGGCACAUCUAGAUAUUCUUCUUCUUGGGCAGAUCUGACGUGUGUCAGCAGUUGUACUCUCCCUCCUCAUUCCUCCUACAUUUGGUUCAAGAAUGGAGAGAAAAUCCCCAGAAAAACAUCCUCGACUUACUCAGACUACUUUGAAUAUGCAGACAGCUAUUCCUGUGCUUUACAGGAACACCAGGAUUUCCCCUCUCCUCCAGUGUGUGUUCGUGGUGAAACCUGUAACAGAGUGAAGUACGAUGUCAG